rnacentral:rRNA from 1 species
UACGAAGGGGCUAGCGUUGCUCGGAAUCACUGGGCGUAAAGCGCACGUAGGCGGAUUGUUAAGUCAGGGGUGAAAUCCUGGAGCUCAACUCCAGAACUGCCUUGAUACUGGCGAUCUUGAGUCCGGGAGAGGUGAGUGGAACUGCGAGUGUAGAGGUGAAAUUCGUAGAUAUUCGCAAGAACACCAGUGGCGAACGGCGGAG